UACGGAGGGGGCUAGCGUUGUUCGGAAUUACUGGGCGUAAAGCGCACGUAGGCGGACUGGAAAGUCAGGGGUGAAAUCCCGGGGCUCAACCCCGGAACUGCCUUUGAAACUCCCAGUCUUGAGGUCGAGAGAGGUGAGUGGAAUUCCGAGUGUAGAGGUGAAAUUCGUAGAUAUUCGGAGGAACACCAGUGGCGAAGGCGGCUCACUGGCUCGAUACUGACGCUGAGGUGCGAAAGCGUGGGGAGCAAAC
rnacentral:rRNA from 1 species